AGAGUUUGAUCCUGGCUCAGAACGAACGCUGGCGGCAGGCUUAACACAUGCAAGUCGAACGCCCCGCAAGGGGAGUGGCAGACGGGUGAGUAACGCGUGGGAAUCUACCUAGUUCUACGGAACAACAGAGGGAAACUUCUGCUAAUACCGUAUACGCCCUAAGGGGGAAAGAUUUAUCGGAAUUAGAUGAGCCCGCGUAAGAUUAGCUAGUUGGUGAGGUAAUGGCUCACCAAGGCGACGAUCUUUAGCUGGUCUGAGAGGAUGAUCAGCCACACUGGGACUGAGACACGGCCCAGACUCCUACGGGAGGCAGCAGUGGGGAAUAUUGGACAAUGGGCGCAAGCCUGAUCCAGCCAUGCCGCGUGAGUGAUGAAGGCCUUAGGGUUGUAAAGCUCUUUCAGUGGGGAAGAUAAUGACGGUACCCACAGAAGAAGCCCCGGCUAACUUCGUGCCAGCAGCCGCGGUAAUACGAAGGGGGCUAGCGUUGUUCGGAUUUACUGGGCGUAAAGCGCACGUAGGCGGUUUGUUAAGUCAGGGGUGAAAUCCCAGAGCUCAACUCUGGAACUGCCUUUGAUACUGGCAAGCUCGAGUCCGGAAGAGGUAAGUGGAACUCCUAGUGUAGAGGUGGAAUUCGUAGAUAUUAGGAAGAACACCAGUGGCGAAGGCGGCUUACUGGUCCGGAACUGACGCUGAGGUGCGAAAGCGUGGGGAGAAACAGGAUUAGAUACCCNNGUAGUCC
rnacentral:rRNA from 1 species